CAAAAAAUAGUUUAUUUAAAAUAUUAAUUUUGGAAAUUAAUGAAAUUUUUAAAAAUUUUUUUGA
rnacentral:tRNA from 1 species